rnacentral:rRNA from 1 species
GAUGAACGCUGGCGGCAUGCCUUACACAUGCAAGUCGAACGGCAGCACGGGAGCAAUCCUGGUGGCGAGUGGCGAACGGGGGAGUAAUGUAUCGGAACGUGCCCAGUCGUGGGGGAUAACGCAGCGAAAGCUGUGCUAAUACCGCAUACGAUCUAUGGAUGAAAGCGGGGGAUCGCAAGACCUCGCGCGAUUGGAGCGGCCGAUAUCAGAUUCGGUAGUUGGUGGGGUAAAGGCCCACCAAGCCAGCGAUCUGUAGCUGGUCUGAGAGGACGACCAGUCACACUGGACCCGAGAAGCGGUCCAGAGUCCUCCGGCAGGCAGCGUUGGGGAAUCGUGGUCGAUGGGCGCAAGCCUGACUCAGCAAUGCCGCGUGCAGGAUGAAGGCCUUCGGGUUGUAAACUGCUUUUGUACGGAGCGAAACGGCUCUCACUAAUACUGGGGGCUAAUGACGGUACCUUAGGAAUAAGCACCGGCUAACUACGUGCCAGCCGCCGCGGUAA